rnacentral:rRNA from 1 species
GACGAACGCUGGCGGCGUGCCUAAUACAUGCAAGUAGAACGCUGAGGGAGGAGCUUGCUCUUCUGGAUGAGUUGCGAACGGGUGAGUAACGCGUAGGUAACCUGCCUGGUACCGCGGGAUAACUCUGGGAAACGAUAGCUAAUACCGCAUAAGAGUACAUGUUGCAUGACAUGUACUUAAAAUUUGCAAUUGCAUCACUACCAGAUGGACCUGCGUUGUAUUAGCUGGUUGUUGGGGUAACGGCCUACCAAGGCGACGUUACAUAGCCGACCUGAGAGGGGGGUCGGCCACACUGGGAGGGAGACAGGGCCCAGACGCCUACGGGAGGGAGCAGUAGGGCAUCGUCGGGAAUGGACGGAAGUCUGAGCGAGCAACGCCGAGGGAGUGAGGAAGGUUGUCGGAUCGGAAAGGUCUGUUGUAAGAGAAGAAAGAGUGUGAGAGUGGAAAGUUCACUCUGUGACGGUAGCUGACCAGAAAGCGACGGCUAACUACGUG